UACGGAGGAUCCAAGCGUUAUCCGGAUUUAUUGGGUUUAAAGGGUGCGUAGGCGGCCUAUUAAGUCAGGGGUGAAAGACGGUAGCUUAACUAUCGCAGUGCCUUUGAUACUGAUGGGCUUGAAUAUACUUGAGGUAGGCGGAAUGUGACAAGUAGCGGUGAAAUGCGUAGAUAUCGUUUGGAACGCCAAUGGUGAAAACAGGUAGCUGGGGAUGCGCUGACGCUGAGACACGAAAGCCAGGGGAGCGAACGGG
rnacentral:rRNA from 1 species